GGAAAGGCGUUGAUGAGGAGUAGUAGGCUUAUCCCCUGUUAAAGAGAGCCGGCGGUUGCUGCAAGCCGGUACAGGGAUGGUUGAACUCGCCUCGGAGCUGCGCUGGUGAAGCGGAUAUUUACCAUAUGCCGUUAGCCAGUGCCGUCAGCCCGCGUAAAGGGCCAACGAAGAGUCGCUACGGCGGCUGAAUCAGGGUGGUACCGCGAAGCUGAAGCUCUCGCCCCUGUU
rnacentral:ncRNA from 1 species